GAGGGGGCAAGGCACAAGAAGAAACUGCCUUGAGGAACUGAGCCAGCUGGAAGGAUGUGGAGCUCGAGAUACAUCCCUUCUCUUCUAUGAUGAAGAAAUUUCAUUAUAUUCUUAGAACUACUUGACAUGAAAACUUCUCUUCAAAGAUUUUUUUGUUUUUGAAACCAGAAUGUUGAUUUUAUGACUGAUCACUGGAAUCCUCAAGAUGAACAGCCACCGCCGCCACCACCCUUGUGGGGUCAGCUGUUGUUCAGUCACAAGAAUCCAUGUCUGAAUUGGAGACAGUGUUUUUGGUGCAUCAGUGGUCCUGGUACUGUUUGGACUCCCAGCCUUGGCUCCCAGCUAUACUUUCCUGUAGGCUUGGCAGGACAGCCACGUUUACCAUAGGUCGUUGACAUCUGCAGGGGAAAGGCCUUGGGGACCACAAGCAUCCGCACAAAGAGUGUGUGCAGUUGUCAUGCUUUCCAGGUGAUGAAGGUCCCUUGGGCAUCUUGCUUCUGCUUCCGGGCCAAAGAGACUGGAAUUGAAGGCCUGUUUAAAUAGCUGCUGAUGAGAUACUUACAACACCACCGUAAAUAAUUUAGGAAUCUGUCUGUCUAAUGCAAUCUUGCCUUCCCCAGCUUUUGUCAUCCUGGUGACACAUCCCCAGAAGGAGUUAAUCACUUCCGUCUCCUUCCUGCCUCUGCCACCAAGCUUUGAGGCUGCUGUACUGUAAGCUAUGUGUUUCCCGGUCUUCUGCUCACAGAGGCAAAGCUCUGACUUAUUUAUCUUCAUUUCUCCAGUGUGAUGCUUAAAAACCCGAAAAGCACCCCCCCCAAUGUUAUCGAUCUGAGUGCGGUUAUUAUCAGUGGGGUCUUUGCAUGAAAAUGCUACUUGGAGCUCCAGGCGAGGGUAUCCAGCACGUUUGCUCAGAAACCAGGAAGAUUAAAACAAAACAAAACAAACAAACAAAAAAAGAAAACAAAAGACCCACAACAACAACAACAACAAAACCAAAACUAAAACCAAGCUUAUCACUUUGCAUCCUUGAUUCCAAAUCUAUAGCUAAAUGUGCUGAGGGUUAGCAUGGGCCUCAGUCCGGGGCUGCUGGCCACACGAAUCUGAUGGGAUUUAUUUGAAGGGUCCGGCAUCAGCAAAGUUCCAAAAAAGGGUGCUCUCAGGGCAUCUCGAUGGAUCCUCUCCCCCACAUUCUGUUCUGUGUUUUCUUUCCUUCCCUGGACCUCACAGUUGCUUCAGACUGCUUAUUCUUGUUCUGGAGACAGAGAGGGGAAGCUGGGUUGUGUGUCCUGUGUCUAGAGUCUGUGCUAACAACAG